rnacentral:rRNA from 1 species
AACUAACGCUGGCGGCGUGCCUAACACAUGCAAGUCGAACGGGAUUUGGGGGCUUGCUCCUAAGUCUAGUGGCGCACGGGUGAGUAACGCGUGGAUAAUCUGCCCUACAGUUGGGAAUAACCCCGCGAAAGCGGGGCUAAUACCGAAUAAUACUCUGUAAUCAUGGUUAUGGAGUCAAAGAGGGCUUCUUCGGGAGCUUUUGCGGUUGGAUGAGUCCGCGUAACAUUAGCUAGUUGGUGGGGUAACUGCCUACCAAGGCGACGAUGUUUAGCUGGUCUUGUAGGAUGAUCAGCCACACUGGAACUGAGACACGGUCCAGACUCCUACGGGAGGCAGCAGUGAGGAAUCUUGGGCAAUGGGCGAAAGCCUGACCCAGCAACGCCGCGUGAGUGAGGAAGGUCUUCGGAUUGUAAAGCUCUGUCGGAUGGGAAGAAAUGUGCAGGUGCCAAACCAUCUGCAUUUGACGGUACCAUCAAAGGAAGCACCGGCUAACUCCGUGCCAGCCGCCGCCGUAA